AGUGAACGCUGGCGGUAGGCCUAACACAUGCAAGUCGAACGGCAGCACAGUAAGAGCUUGCUCUUACUGGUGGCGAGUGGCGGACGGGUGAGGAAUACAUCGGAAUCUACUUUUUCGUGGGGGAUAACGUAGGGAAACUUACGCUAAUACCGCAUACGACCUACGGGUGAAAGCAGGGGAUCUUCGGACCUUGCGCGAUUGUAUGAGCCGAUGUCGGAUUAGCUAGUUGGCGAGGUAAAGGCCCACCAAGGCGACGAUCCGUAGCUGAUCUGAGAGGAUGAUCGGCCACACUGGAACUGAGACACGGUCCAGACUCCUACGGGAGGCAGCAGUGGGGAAUAUUGGACAAUGGGCGCAAGCCUGAUCCAGCCAUACCGCGUGGGUGAAGAAGGCCUUCGGGUUGUAAAGCCCUUUUGUUGGGAAAGAAAAGCAGCAGGUUAAUACCCCGCUGUUCUGACGGUACCCAAAGAAUAAGCACCGGCUAACUUCGUG
rnacentral:rRNA from 1 species